CCAGAAGAAAAAAUUAGCUGAGUAAAUUUAGUAUCAGUGGUGUUAUGUUAGUCUCUAUUACCUGAACAUUUAGUAUUUGCCCACUUUGAUUUUACAAACAUAUAAGCAUCCCUUCCAAAGUGUAGAUGUCCUUAAAAAUAGCUAUUGGGGAUUGUCAAUAAAUAUACAAAAAGCAAGUCCAAAAAUAAUUCUUCUGCCCUAAAGAAGUAUCUGUCCAUUUGACUGAUAUUUUAUCUUUCAAUAUUCACAAACCACACCUCCUGAAAUACAAGUUUAUAUCAAAGGACUCUGAUCUUUAAAGUUCACCAAACUACUUCUCAAGGAGUAAUGCAAGGCAGGGUAAAUUUAACCUUUGCUAAAACCCCUCAGAAUCUGAAGUAUAAAUUAAAUGGGCCCUAGCACAUGGAGAGGGAGAAGCCAAGUCUAAAACCACUUUUUUUUUUUUUUUUAAUUGUAAAGGGCUAAUAGAGUUCAUUAUUUCCCAUCUGACAUAAUUUUUUGGUUAUCCAUGCAAAAUUCUCAUUAGUUGCAAGACAGCCCUUUAAAUAGCAUAUGUUGUCCCAGUCAGAUGAGGAAGGUUUGUAAAAGAAAGUUGUGUCUAAUAAAUAUCAUUUUUCCCUAACAGAUUCGGACAUUGCUGAACUCGAGCAUGUAGGAGCAGAUGAUCCAACUGAGAUUAUCACAGGAAGUCCAAGAGGAAUUUAAUCCAAUCCUUUGAACUUUCAAGUGGAACAGAGGUCUUGGGUCCAAAAUAGCAAAAUGCAUGCACUCCACAACAGGACAACUUUCCCUCAUCAGUGCACUGCUCUGCAGAGGCUUUCAGAAAGAAGUAUUUCAGCUUCACUACUUUCCCCUGACCACUGGGAUGUUCAGAAGAGAAGCAUUUGAACUGGUACCUUGGAGUCCACAGGAAGGAUUAUUGUCUCGCAUUUCACCCUGAAAACAAGACUCUCACAUAGUACUGAAGAUGAAGCUGACAACUGUCAACUGCUGCAAGAACAAGUCUUCAUGAAGUCUAGCUCUACCAAAAUUACUGAUUUGCUGCAUAUCUACAGCCUUGUCUUUUUACCGGCACUGUAGGCUGAUGGUGUAUCUUUUAAGAGAACUCUUGUACUGUAUUUACUUUAGACCUUAGCAUUUUGUCUCCUUUGUUGGGGUGGACCUGUCUGAAAUUAAAAUUCUUGAGAAUAAAACACCAAGGAACACGGGAAGUCA
rnacentral:lncRNA from 1 species